rnacentral:rRNA from 1 species
AGUGAACGCUGGCGGUAGGCCUAACACAUGCAAGUCGAACGGCAGCACAGUAAGAGCUUGCUCUUACGGGUGGCGAGUGGCGGACGGGUGAGGAAUACAUCGGAAUCUACUUUUUCGGGGGGGUUAACGUAGGGAAACUUACGCUAAAACCGCAUACGCCCUACGGGUGAAAGCAGGGGACCUUCGGCCCUUGCGCGAUUGAAUGAGCGGAUGUCGGAUUAGCUAGUUGGCGGGGUAAAGGCCCACCAAGGCGACGAUCCGUAGCUGGUCUGAGAGGAUGAUCAGCCACACUGGAACUGAGACACGGUCCAGACUCCUACGGGAGGCAGCAGUGGGGAAUAUUGGACAAUGGGCGCAAGCCUGAUCCAGCCAUACCGCGUGGGUGAAGAAGGCCUUCGGGUUGUAAAGCCCUUUUGUUGGGAAAGAAAAGCAGCAGGUUAAUACCCCGCUGUUCUGACGGUACCCAAAGAAUAAGCACCGGCUAACUUCGUG